rnacentral:tRNA from 1 species
UCCUUGGUGGUCCAGUGGUUAAGACUCUGCACUUCUACUGCAGGGAGUUCGGGUACCAUUCCUGACUGGGGAC